AGAGCGUCUGAAGAGUCGGAUUCGGAUGAGGAGUUGAAGGGGUUGAACUAUGAGGAGUAUCGGAGGCUGAAGAGACAGAAGCUCCGGAAGACAUUGAAGCAUUGUAUUUGGAGAGUGACUCCUAGCCCACCGAGGAAUGGGAACGAAGAGUAUGAGGAGAAAGAUGAUGAAAUUUUGGAGAAAUAUGGCGGCGGCGGUGACGACGGUGGAGA
rnacentral:misc_RNA from 1 species